rnacentral:tRNA from 1 species
GGGGUUGUAACUCAGUGGUAGAGCGCUUGCCUCACACGCAUGAGGCCCUGGGUUCGAUCCUCAGCACCACA